GUGGCGAACGGGUGAGUAACACGUGAGCAAUCUGCCCUUGACUCUGGGAUAACUGCGGGAAACUGUAGCUAAUACCGGAUACUUUCCUCGCUGGGCAUCCAGCGGGGAAGAAAGAAUUUCGGUCAAGGAUGAGCUCGCGGCCUAUCAGCUAGUUGGUGAGGUAAUGGCUCACCAAGGCGACGACGGGUAGCCGGCCUGAGAGGGUGACCGGCCACACUGGAACUGAGACACGGUCCAGACUCCUACGGGAGGCUGCAGUGGGGAAUAUUGCACAAUGGGCGAAAGCCUGAUGCAGCAACGCCGCGUGAGGGAUGAAGGCCUUCGGGUUGUAAACCUCUUUUAGCAGGGAAGAAGCGAAAGUGACGGUACCUGCAGAAAAAGCACCGGCUAACUACGUGCCAGCAGCCGCGGUAAUACGUAGGGUGCAAGCGUUGUCCGGAAUUAUUGGGCGUAAAGAGCUCGUAGGCGGUUUGUCACGUCUGCUGUGAUAAUCCGAGGCUCAACCUCGGACUUGCAGUGGGUACGGGCAGGCUAGAGUGCGGUAGGGGAGAAGGGAAUUCCUGGUGUAGCGGUGGAAUGCGCAGAUAUCAGGAGGAACACCAAUGGCGAAGGCACUUCUCUGGGCCGUAACUGACGCUGAGGAGCGAAAGCGUGGGGAGCGAACAGGAUUAGAUACCCUGGUAGUCCAC
rnacentral:rRNA from 1 species